GCGGGAGUGGCGCAAUGGUGGCGCAUCUGCUUCCCAAGCAGAGGGUUGCGGGUUCGAGCCCCGUCUCCCGCUCCA
rnacentral:tRNA from 1 species